rnacentral:rRNA from 1 species
UACGGGGGGGGCAAGCGUUGUUCGGAAUUACUGGGCGUAAAGGGCUCGUAGGCGGCCAACUAAGUCAGACGUGAAAUCCCUCGGCUUAACCGGGGAACUGCGUCUGAUACUGGAUGGCUUGAAUUCGGGAGAGGGAUGCGGAAUUCCAGGUGUAGCGGUGAAAUGCGUAGAUAUCUGGAGGAACACCGGUGGCGAAGGCGGCAUCCUGGACCGACAUUGACGCUGAUGAGCGAAAGCCAGGGGAGCAAACGGG